rnacentral:lncRNA from 1 species
AAAGAAUGCCAUAUACUGUUAUUUGGCAUUUUUGAUUCUUUCACUUGAUUUACUUAUCUUUUUUUUUUUUCUCCAGGGUAGACCAGGCUGUGGUUCUCCUUAAUAGGUGGACAUUUACAAAGUAAUUUUGACGUACAUGGUCUACUUUUUAAAAACUUCCAGGGAAUGGCCAGGGGUGAUGUUGCCAUCUUCAAUAAGCAACUAAUGAACUCGCUCGGUCCUUAUGUCUACCUCUGGAUUAACAUGAGACCCAGAAACUGGACCCAGCAAUUGUUCUCAAAUUCAACACAAAACUCCCCAAUUCAUCUCUACUGUAUAUCCCUGCCUUUCUAGAACAUCAUCUUCUUGAUGGAUCUGGACAGACCUAUUUGAAGGCCUUAAUGAAUCAUCGUCUUUUAUAUUUGUGCCCACAUCCUCUUCAUUGAGACUUCACAUUGUGAGAUGGCUUAGACACAUAAAAGGUAAAGAGGGAUCCAGUGAGCAUAUUUUUAUAUC